UAAAGGUAUCAGCUGGCCUGUGUAUACUAGCAGCCUUCCAGGGAGGGGCUGGGGAAAGGUCUGAGCUGGCAGCAGGAGGAUUCUUUAUCUGAGUGAGUUAUGCCUGGGGAUUCCUAAUGAUCACAACAGGCAGAGUCUCUUCAUAGUGUCUUGGAGGCUGGACAUCACUGACCCUGAAUAAAAUACACUAUAUCCUAAAAGGAGACCUACUUCUCCAUUCUUCUGCUGGGUUCCCCAAGACCAGUCAUUUCUUUUGACAUUAAUAUGUACACAGCCUGAGAGCAAGAAAUGAAACGGUGUCCAUCAUAGUAAAAUUAUUAGAAGUUGAGAUUUCUUCAAUAGAGUAUGCGGUUGUAAAUCCCUUGGUUUCAUUCUAUUAAAGCUAUAUAUCUAACAGAUUAAAUCAUAGUAGCAGUAGGAUGUAAGUUGUUUAAUUUUUGACUGGCACACAAAUAAAUGGCUGUAAUAUGCCACCUGUGAUGAAUAAUCUGCGCUAGACUUUCAAAUCUGAGUAUUUCUUUUCUGUCAAUUUAAGUGAACUGAGAUUUUUUCUUUUAUUUCUUUUUAAACAUUUGUGUUUCUGUUCCGAGCUGCACUGACAGACCCUAGUAGCCACAUUCCUUCUCAUACUGAUUUCAAAGAAAAAACUACCUGUGUUCACUGUCCAGUUAUAUUAUCCCCAAGCUUCCAGAUGGAUUUUGUUCCAAUAGAAACAAAUUCUAUUAUAUUUUCUAGGUGCAUGUGAUUCCUUAUUGCACUGAAAUCAGUAUGUUUGUUUCUGGAUAGUCUUCUUAUGGAAGUCUUCUGGAUAGUCCUCCCAUGCAAGUCUAGCCAAACAAGUGAGACUGGGUUACCUUUGUCAUUGAAAAGUCACUUUUUCGUUAAAACUAAUGCUCAUAAUGAAAAUUGA